rnacentral:siRNA from 1 species
ACUUUUAGUUUUUGGUGAUGA